AGGGCUGAGGGAUUGGUGCUGCCAUCCAAAGCUGAGGGAGUGGAGUCACCACCAGGAUUCUAGAGUCCAUGGCCCCUGCUGAAAACUGAGAGGAUGGGGCUGCCAUCCAAGCCUGAGGGGGUGAGGUCACCACCAGAGUACCAGAGGAUAGAGCCGCGGCACAGUCCUGAGGGAUUUACAGCUGGAGGGGAAUUUUACCUCAGGAUGGACCAUGGCCCAAACUUUACCCAUCCCUGAAUUAGAUGAGAUUUUGAACAUAACGUUGAUGCUGGAAUGCGUUAAGACUUUUCCGGCAGCCAGGAGAAGACCAAGACAAACCAGAAGAAUUCCAUCUGACAAUGAAGGCAGAGAUUGGGGUUAUGCAAUUGCAAGCCAAGGAAUACCAAAGAUUGCUGGCAAACCACCAGAAACUAGGAAGAGGCAAAGAAGGACUCCCCUACAGGUUUCAGAGAAAAAGCAAGGUUCUGCCCACUCUUGUUUAAGACAUCUAGCCUCCAAGACAGUGAGACAGUACAUUUCUGUUGUUUUAAGCUACCCAGUUUGCGGUACUUUGUCAUGGCAGCCCUGGGUAACUAGCACAGACUCUGACAUCCUAUGCUGUCCCAUACAUUGAUAGCCCCCUCACUCUACUCAUGCUCUGAAUCCCAUGCCAGACCAUCUUUGAUGUAAACACCUUCAUUGAUCUGCUUGGGCUCUGACAUCCCUCACUUAGCUCCCCUUAAACAUGGAUGGCUUCCUUUCUCCUCCUGGCUUCUGAUUCUUUACACCAAACCAACCCCCACAAGGAACAACUUUUUCACUUUCUUCAGGCUCUGCCUCCACUUCAGGCUGCCUUCAUCUGUGGUUCCCCUCCUUACCCCAGUUAAGCACCAACAUCUAGAGCUACACCUCUAUUUGGACACCUAUCUUGCUCCAACCCACCUCUUGAAUUGUUCUAGAAGUAAUGAGAAGGGAAAGAAAAGAACAGGAAACAGGAAGGGAUAAAAGAAGAGCCAGACUUGGUUUUAAGAAAUACAAUAUGAAAGAUGAAGUGAAAGCGUCCUUCAUAUCCCUUCAUAAUUUCAUUUGCCUCCCUUUCUCCCUAGAGGUACUACUAUACUGUAUUUAUUUUCCUCUUUUUCAUGCAGGAUUUUAUGCUACUACUACAUAAAUAAUUAUCCAUUAACAUG